rnacentral:rRNA from 1 species
UACGUAGGGGGCAAGCGUUGUCCGGAAUCAUUGGGCGUAAAGAGCGUGUAGGCGGUCCGGUAAGUCGGCUGUGAAAGCCCACGGCUCAACCGUGGAGGGUCAUUGGAAACUGGGGGACUUGAGUACAGAAGAGAAGAGUGGAAUUCCACGUGUAGCGGUGAAAUGCGUAGAGAUGUGGAGGAACACCAGUGGCGAAGGCGACUCUUGGUCUGUAACUGACGCUGAGGCGCGAAAGCGUGGGGAGCAAACAGG